CAGUAGCCGCGGUAAUACGUAGGUGGCAAGCGUUGUCCGGAAUUAUUGGGCGUAAAGGGCUCGCAGGCGGUUUCUUAAGUCUGAUGUGAAAGCCCCCGGCUCAACCGGGGAGGGUCAUUGGAAACUGGGAAACUUGAGUGCAGAAGAGGAGAGUGGAAUUCCACGUGUAGCGGCGAAAUGCGUAGAGAUGUGGAGGAACACCAGUGGCGAAGGCGACUCUCUGGUCUGUAACUGACGCUGAGGAGCGAAAGCGUGGGGAGCGAACAGGAUUAGAUACCCCCGUAGUCCCUGUCUCUUAUAC
rnacentral:rRNA from 1 species